GUCAUAUCUCCAAUGACACUGUACACGUCACUACACUCAAUUGGGAAAAUGACAAUGGGAGCAUAGGGGUGCAGUAUAACUACAUGGACUGCUCCACUGCAGCAUGAGAGACUGGGAGGUAACCUGAUCCAGUCUCUGGUCUUCUUGCACUGCCAAGCAGAUAUUACUCUGUCUACAGUUGACGGCCAGCCCAUCCCCACCUGGCUGAAUCUACACUACUCGUUACGGUUAUCUCAGCGGGCAGCGGAGCGGGGACGUCAGCUGACAGCCAUUUCCCAUGAUGCCCCAGGAGGAGCCGUCAAGCUGUCCAUCCAACUGUCAGACAACAGCUGUAGGAGGCGAACAUCAUUACUCAUGAAUGACACUGAACCUGUUUCCAUGGAUCUGCUGCUCUCUCACUGUCUAUGGCACACCUCUGGAAAAGCCGCCGGCACAUCCGGCUGGAGAACCCUGAAGCACUGGAAUGGGAUUGGGGGGACUAGUGAUGAAGACUACAGGAUGCCUAUCCACCGUGGCCUAGUGUUUUGAUGCCAUCUAUUGGAAUAAUUGACCAAUUUAUCAAGGGGAGUAUACAGAGUGACUACCAACUGAAAUGCUUUCUAUCCUCAUAAUAGAAGUGGUCAAUUAUAAAUAUAUCAGUUACAAUUACUAAAUUCUACCCAACAAACAUUGAGUAAACAUUCAGCUAAUUUUGAUAUCAGAAUGAUUAUAUCUCAACUACUUCUACCAAGUCAAAUUUCAAAUGAUGAAAUGGUGAUAUGAUCGUGAACUAGAGAUAUCUUGAUUUUGCAUGAUGCC
rnacentral:lncRNA from 1 species